rfam:Betaproteobacteria bacterium RIFCSPLOWO2_12_FTLL_65_110 rifcsplowo2_12_scaffold_33391, whole genome shotgun sequence.
AAUUCCGCGAGGACUUGUCCGAAGGAAGCCCGAGCGCAAAGGUGCGAGCCGACGAACAGAAAUUGCAUAGAAGGCCCAGUCCCCGGGCGAGUCAGCACUUGAUGACGAAGCCCACGGAUACCAGGACAGGGUAAAUGCAGCGGUUGUGCACCGAGAGAUCAUGAA